UACGUAGGCAGCAAGCGUUGUUCGGAGUUACUGGGCGUAAAGGGUGCGUAGGUGGCUCUAUAAGUAUGGUGUGAAAUCUCCCGGCUUAACUGGGAGGGUGGCGCCGUAGACUGGUGGGGCUAGAGUGUGGGAGAGGGAAAGUGGAAAUUCCUGGUGUAGCGGGUGAAAAUGCGUAGAUAUCAGGAGGAACACCGGUGGCGAAGGCGGGUCUCUGGGCCGUAACUGACGCUGAGGAGCGAAAGCAUGGGGAGCGAACAGG
rnacentral:rRNA from 1 species